CUAGGGUCAGCGGGCCUUGGUGUUCGGGAAACCGGUGGGAAACCGGUGCGGCCCUCGCCACUGUGAUCGGGAAGUCCGGCUCCACUCCUGCGGGAAGCCACUGGGCCCGCGCGGGAGACCGUACGGCCCCGGGAAGGCGGAGCCCGGGCAUCAGUACCCGUGAGCCAGGAGACCGGCCGGGGCGCGUUGUCCAUC
rnacentral:ncRNA from 2 species